rnacentral:rRNA from 1 species
UACGUAGGGGGCAAGCGUUGUCCGGAUUUAUUGGGCGUAAAGAGCGUGUAGGCGGCUAGGUAGGUCCGUUGUGAAAACUCGAGGCUCAACCUCGAGACGUCGAUGAAACCAUCUAGCUAGAGUCCGGAAGAGGAGAGUGGAAUUCCUGGUGUAGCGGUGAAAUGCGCAGAUAUCAGGAAGAACACCCGUGGCGAAGGCGGCUCUCUGGUACGUGACUGACGCUGAGACGCGAAAGCGUGGGGAGCGAACGGG